rnacentral:rRNA from 1 species
CGAGAGGCUUCUACAAUGGGGGAAACCCUGAUAGAGCGACGCCGCGUGGGUGAUGAAGGUCUUCGGAUCGUAAAGCCCUUUCAGUAGGGAAGAAGGUGACAGGCGCUAAUAUCGUCUGUUGCAAGACGGUACCUACAGAAGAAGCUCCGGCUAACUCCGUGCCAGCAGCCGCGGUAAGACGGAGGGAGCAAGCGUUGUUCGGAUUUACUGGGCGUAAAGGGCGUCUAGGCGGGCCAGCCAGUCAGGUGUGAAACCCCCCGGCUCAACCGGGGAUCUGCACUUGAUACUGCUGGUCUUGAGUACGAAAGAGGAAGGCGGAAUUCCUGGUGUAGCGGUGAAAUGCGUAGAUAUCAGGAAGAACACCGGUGGCGAAGGCGGCCUUCUGGUUCGAUACUGACGCUAAAGCGCGAAAGUGUGGGGAGCAAAC